AGUGAACGCUGGCGGUACGCCUAACACAUGCAAGUCGAACGGCAGCACAGUAAGAGCUUGCUCUUACGGGUGGCGAGUGGCGGACAGGUGAGGAAUACAUCGGAAUCUACUUUUUCGUGGGGGAUAACGUAGGGAAACUUACGCUAAUACCGCAUACGACCUACGGGUGAAAGCAGGGGAUCUUCGGACCUUGCGCGAUUGAAUGAGCCGAUGUCGGAUUAGCUAGUUGGCGGGGUAAAGGCCCACCAAGGCGACGAUCCGUAGCUGGUCUGAGAGGAUGAUCAGCCACACUGGAACUGAGACACGGUCCAGACUCCUACGGGAGGCAGCAGUGGGGAAUAUUGGACAAUGGGCGCAAGCCUGAUCCAGCCAUACCGCGUGGGUGAAGAAGGCCUUCGGGUUGUAAAGCCCUUUUGUUGGGAAAGAAAAGCAGCAGGUUAAUACCCCGCUGUUCUGACGGUACCCAAAGAAUAAGCACCGGCUAACUUCGUG
rnacentral:rRNA from 1 species